rnacentral:lncRNA from 1 species
CGCCGUUGUCGUCUUCCCAAAUCUCCGACCACCACCCACCACCGGCCGAUGAUGCGUCAAAGUAAACCCACCUUGAUCAUAAUUACCAUACAAAUAAUCCAGAUGAUCAUCACCAUUCAUAAAGCUAAUCUGAUGCGACGAAGCCGUUUGAUCCUCCUCCUCGUACACCACCACGUCACUACUCCAAGCCGGGUCGUAAACCAACCGGGCCGGGUUCGGCCCGUAAACCGACUGGAGCUGGUAGAAG